AUUGAAAUAAGGAUGGGACUGCGGCAGAUUAGUUUGUUGCCAGGGUAACGUCCUGACAAGGCGAUAAUCUGUACGAGCCUUGAGAGAGGAAGCUCGGAGUUGGAUUCUGAGACAAGAAUCCAGGUCCUACGGGACGCAGCAGGCGCGAAACUUUCCCAAUGCACGCAAGUGUGAGGAAGAGGUCCGAAGCGUUUUCUCUUAGGAGAGAACUUUUGUUAAGUUUAAACAGCUUGGCGAAUAAGGAGUGGGUAAGACGGGUGCCAGCCGCCGCGGUAAUACCCGCGCUCCAAGUGAUGACCACGAUUACUGGGCUUAAAGCGUUCGUAGCCGGUUUUGUUAGUUCCUGGUGAAAUCGAUCGGUAGACCGAUUGGCUUGCUGGGAAUACUGCAAGACUUGGGACCGGGAGAGGUCAGAGGUACUCCAGGGGUAAGGGUAAAAUCUUAUAAUCCUUGGGGGACCACCUGUGGCGAAGGCGUCUGACUAGAACGGAUCCGACGGUGAGGGACGAAAGCUAGGGGAGCGAACCGGAUUAGAUACCCGGGUAGUCCUAGCUGUAAACGAUGCCCACUAGACAAUGGUAAUCCUACGUGGGUUAUCAGAGUCGUAGCGAAAGCGUUAAGUGGGCCGCCUGGGGAGUACGGUCGCAAGGCUGAAACUUAAGGGAAUUGGCGGGGGAGCACACAAGGGGUGGAGGCUGCGGUUCAAUUCGACUCAACGCGGGGAACCUUACCAAAGGCGACAGCAGAAUGAAGGUCAGGCUCAAGGUCUUACCAGACAAGCUGAGAAGUAGUGCAUGGCCGUCGUCAGUUCGUGCUGUGAAGUGUCGUCUUAAGUGACGUAACGAACAAGACCCAUGCCACAUGUUGCUAACCAAUUCAUUUGGUGCACUCAUGUGGGACCGCUGGCGAUAAGUCAGAGGAAGGUGUGGUCGACGGCAGGUCCGUAUGCCCUGAAUCCUUUGGGUAACACGCGGCCUACAAUGGAUGGGACAAUGAGACGCGACACCGAAAGGUGAAGCUAAUCUCCAAACCCAUCCCCAGUUCAGAUCGAGGGUUGCAACUCACCCUCGUGAAGCCGAAAUCCCUAGUAGUCGCUGGUUAGCAUCUAGCGGCGAAUACGUUCCUGCUCCUUGCACACACUGCCCGUCAAGCCAUCCGAGUGGAGUUUUGGCGAGGUCUUUCCUUCGGGACAGCUCAAACCAAGACUUUGCAAGGAGGGCUAAGUCGUAACAAGGUA
rnacentral:rRNA from 1 species